AGCAAGUGUACCCUUCAAAUACUAACCUAAUUUAUUUUGAUUUGGAACCAAAAUCAGCCGUCAAACUCUCGCCAUCGUUUCAGAGAAAUCUCGUUGGUGUCUUCUUCAUCAAAUCUUUGUCGUCAUCGUCAUCAUCAUCGUCGCUGUCGUUUUGAGUAGUGGUCGUCCAUGUCAUCGUCACUAUCGAUUUGAUUUGGAAAUUUCAGAUUUAUUGUCUGGUUCUUGUUCAGAUGGGUGACAGUGAAUCUGACGUCCUUCUUCUACCAAGAGGUAUUUAUGAAGUUUUUUUUAACCAAACACUAGAGCUAUUAUAAUUCAACAUUCAGGUCUUAGUUUGGUUCGAAGAGUUAAAGCUGUAUUGGGAGAAGAAUCGUUCAGGAAACUUGAAGAUUCUUUCUUCGGUCAUAUCAUCAAACUGACAUCAAAAGAAUCGUAUUCUCGGGGAAGUUAUUCCACUAUAUGAUGUUGAGAAGGCUUAAGAAAAAGGAGAAUAAUAUAUAGUUUACAGUCGCCUUGCAACCAGUUAAGGAAACGGGUGGGUGGAAUGCGACUGCGACGGCUCUGGCGAAUGCGACAGUUCCGGCGACUGCGACAGCUCCGACGACAAUUACAACGGUGAUAGCUUGGCAAAGGGGAGCGGGUGAAGACAAAUCAACCAUAAGAACAGCGAUUAUUAGGUUAGCUAUUGUUGUAUUAGUCAAUUAGGGUAAAGUGUAAAUGAAAUUUUAAGAGAGGUAUAACUAAAAAUGGACAGAAAAUAUGAUUUUUUAAAAAA